CUGAUUGGUCGACAGGUGACAGGUGUCAAUCAUCCACACUCUGUGUUGUUUUAGCCUUAGCAGCACCGCUAGCUACUGCUAAUGCAUUCACACUUUAGGGAUUAAAUGAAAAGUUUCAAGAAGUUAAGACAAAAGCAGAAGGAUUGAUUGCUUACCGCUCUUUGGUGAGGAAAAAAUAGAAGAACAAAAGGUUGAGCGUGAGUGGCGGGAAGCAGCGCCAAAGAGAGGCAGCACGGGGGACUGCUAGAGUUGGACCUACACUGCACAGCCAGCACCACUGGACUUACUGAACUCCAUGACAUCCACACCAAGCGCACUACUGUUCUCCACGCCCUUCCUGUGUAUCUGCGCGAGGACGUCUCUGGAUUUUUAAGAACCUGCACAGACGAGUCUGAUGAGCCAGAGCUUGAUGAUGUUGCAGUGGCCCUCCUUAGUGUCGUUAGUGACCAUGACACAAGUCCAGUCACUACCAGCCUGUGAAAAUCUCUGUCAUCAUUGAAAGUGAUGCCAUGGUCAGUCUCCCCAGAUUUGGCGAUGCCUUCCUGGUAAUGUUUGGACUGAUCUAUGUACUACACCUCAGCUAUCCCAAAUCACUGACCAACACUUUUGAAUUCACUCAAAAGAUUUUACUUGGUCUAGAAAGUGGUAAACUGUCACCCAGGUUGCAGUCCCUCAAGAAUGACUUGAUGAUGUAGAAACUCAACUCAUCUGAAAGAAGGAUGCAGGGUAAAGUUCUUUCCUUUUGUCUAAAUAAUGCAAAAAGUAAUUGCACUACUCUGCAGGUGUUCAGCCAUAAGGCCCGAAUUACACAAUGUGCCUUUGUUCUCAUUAUAAUGCAAAAGUUAUGCUAAUGUUUUAAUGUUUUUCUUAAUGGUAUUUCUCAGCCAUUGUGGGCUGCGCAAGAUGACCUAAAUUUCACUCUGCAUUUGAUACUGGUUAAUGAUUCAGAGUUUUAAGUGAAAAUGUUCUUAAACAGUCUGUAGCAUUUUUGUAACUGCAUCCAUUGCUGCCCUAUUGCCUUACUAGCAACACGUUAAGGCUUUUUUUUGUUUGUUGUUGUUUUGUUUGUUUUUUUGUAUAGCUGUAACAAAAGAAUAUUUCAUCUUUGUAUUAUUUAUCAUUAUUUUGGAUUACUCUGGUUAUUUUCCUG